rnacentral:rRNA from 1 species
GAUGAACGCUGGCGGCGUGCCUAAUACAUGCAAGUCGAGCGAACAGACGAGGAGCUUGCUCCUCUGACGUUAGCGGCGGACGGGUGAGUAGCACGUGGAUAACCUACCUAUAAGACUGGGAUAACUUCGGGAAACCGGAGCUAAUACCGGAUAAUAUAUUGAACCGCAUGGUUCAAUAGUGAAAGACGGUUUUGCUGUCACUUAUAGAUGGAUCCGCGCCGCAUUAGCUAGUUGGUAAGGUAACGGCUUACCAAGGCGACGAUGCGUAGCCGACCUGAGAGGGUGAUCGGCCACACUGGAACUGAGACACGGUCCAGACUCCUACGGGAGGCAGCAGUAGGGAAUCUUCCGCAAUGGGCGAAAGCCUGACGGAGCAACGCCGCGUGAGUGAUGAAGGUCUUCGGCUCGUAAAACUCUGUUAUUAGGGAAGAACAAAUGUGUAAGUAACUAUGCACGUCUUGACGGUACCUAAUCAGAAAGCCACGGCUAACUACGUG